rnacentral:rRNA from 1 species
UUCCGGUUGAUCCUGCCGGACCCGACUGCUAUUUGGGUGAGGAUAAGCCAUGCGAGUCGUAUGGGAUACCUAAAAUUUCCAUGGCAGACUGCUCAGUAACACAUGAUCAACUUACCCUAUAGAGAAAAAUAACCUCGGGAAACUGAGGAUAAUAUUUCAUAAUUGAAAAGGCUUGGAAAAGUUUUUCAACGAAAUGGAUAAGAAAAAUGGUUCUUAUCUGCUAUAGGAUAGGAUCGUGGUCGAUUAUGGUUGUUGGUGAGGUAACGGCUCACCAAGCCGAUAAUCGAUAGGGGCCGUGAGAGCGGGAGCCCCGAGAUGGGUACUGAGACAACGACCCAGGCCUUACGAGGCGCAGCAGGCGCGAAACCUCCGCAAUACACGAAAGUGUGACGGGGUUACCCAAAGUGUUCAAUUUUGAACUGUGGCAGGUGAGUAAUGUCCCCUGCUAGAAAGGAGAGGGCAAGGCUGGUGCCAGCCGCCGCGGUAAAACCAGCUCUUCAAGUGGUCGGGAUAAUUAUUGGGCUUAAAGUGUCCGUAGCCGGUUUAGAAAGUUCCUGGUAAAAUCGGGUAGCUUAACUAUCCGUAUGCUAGGAAUACUACUAUACUAGAGGGCGGGAGAGGUCUGAGGUACUACAGGGGUAGGGGUGAAAUCUUAUAAUCCUUGUAGGACCACCAGUGGCGAAGGCGUCAGACUGGAACGCGCCUGACGGUGAGGGACGAAAGCCAGGGGAGCGAACCGGAUUAGAUACCCGGGUAGUCCUGGCCGUAAACGAUGCAUACUAGUGAUGGUACGGCCAUGAGCCGUGUCAGUGUCGUAGGGAAACCGUUAAGUGUGCCGCCUGGAAGUACGGUCGCAAGGCUAAAACUUAAAGGAAUUGGCGGGGGGAGCACCACAAGGGGUGAGCCUGCGUUUAAUGGAUUCAACGCCGGA